AAAAAGACAAACCCUGGGUUUCCGUGUCCAACUUUGACUGUCCGUCUUAUAUGAAAAUUUUUUAUAAUUCGUAUUUUCAUUGUUGCUAGAUGAUAAAACAUGAUUAAUAUUUUAUGUGUGACUUGCCUUUUAAUUUUUUUCAUAAUUUUUUUAAAUAAGACGGACGGUCAAACGUUGAGCACGGAAACCAGGGUUUGUCUUUUU
rfam:Oryza sativa Indica Group scaffold000171 genomic scaffold, whole genome shotgun sequence.